UACGAAGGGGGCGAGCGUUGUUCGGAUUUACUGGGCGUAAAGGGCGCGCAGGCGGCUCAUUUUGUCAGGCGUGAAAGCCCCGGGCUUAACCUGGGAACUGCGUUUGAUACGGAUGGGCUAGAGUUCGGGAGAGGAGAGUGGAAUUCCCAGUGUAGAGGUGAAAUUCGUAGAUAUUGGGAAGAACACCGGUGGCGAAGGCGGCUCUCUGGACCGAUACUGACGCUGAGGCGGCGAAAAGCGUGGGGAGCCAAACAGG
rnacentral:rRNA from 1 species